AUUGAACGCUGGCGGCAGGCCUAACACAUGCAAGUCGAGCGGAGCGGCGGACGGGUGAGUGAUGCCUAGGAAUCUGCCUGGUAGUGGGGGAUAAAGUCCGGCAACGGGCGCUAAUACCGCAUACUAUCAGAUGAGCCUAGGUCGGAUUAGCUAGUUGGUGGGGUAAGGGCGUACCAAGGCGACGAUCCGUAACUGGUCUGAGAGGAGGAUCAGUCACACUGGGACUGAGACACGGUCCAGACUCCUACGGGAGGCAGCAGUGGGGAAUAUUGCACAAUGGGCGAAAGCCUGAUCCAGCCAUGCCGCGUGUGUGAAGAAGGUCUUCGGGUUGUAAAGCACUUUAAGUCGGGAGGCGUUACCAACAGAAUAAGCACCGGCUAACUUCGUGCCAGCAGCCGCGGUAAUAC
rnacentral:rRNA from 1 species